AUUGAACGCUGGCGGCAGGCCUAACACAUGCAAGUCGAGCGGAUGACGGGAGCUUGCUCCUUGAUUCAGCGGCGGACGGGUGAGUAAUACCUAGGAAUCUGCCUGAUAGUGGGGGACAACGUUUCGAAAGGAACGCUAAUACCGCAUACGUCCUACGGGAGAAAGCAGGGGACCUUCGGGCCUUGCGCUAUCAGAUGAGCCUAGGUCGGAUUAGCUAGUUGGUGAGGUAAUGGCUCACCAAGGCGACGAUCCGUAACUGGUCUGAGAGGAUGAUCAGUAGCACUGGAACUGAGACACGGUCCAGACUCCUACGGGAGGCAGCAGUGGGGAAUAUUGGACAAGGGGCGAAAGCCUGAUCCAGCCAUGCCGCGUGUGUGAAGAAGGUCUUCGGAUUGUAAAGCACUUUAAGUUGGGAGGAAGGGCAGUAAGCUAAUACCUUGCUGUUUUGACGUUACCGACAGAAUAAGCACCGGCUAACUCUGUGCCAGCAGCCGCCGUAA
rnacentral:rRNA from 1 species